rnacentral:tRNA from 1 species
GCCUCGGUAGCUCAGUUGGUAGAGCAGCGGACUGAAAAUCCGCGUGUCGGUGGUUCGACUCCGCCCCGAGGCACCA